CCUACGGGUGGCAGCAGUGGGGAAUAUUGGACAAUGGGCGAAAGCCUGAUCCAGCCAUGCCGCGUGUGUGAAGAAGGCCUUCGGGUUGUAAAGCACUUUCAGUGGGGAAGAAAGCCUUGGGGCUAAUACCCUCGAGGAAGGACAUCACCCACAGAAGAAGCACCGGCUAACUCCGUGCCAGCAGCCGCGGUAAUACGGAGGGUGCGAGCGUUAAUCGGAAUUACUGGGCGUAAAGCGCGCGUAGGCGGUCUGAUAAGCCGGUUGUGAAAGCCCCGGGCUCAACCUGGGAACGGCAUCCGGAACUGUCAGGCUAGAGUGCAGGAGAGGAAGGUAGAAUUCCCGGUGUAGCGGUGAAAUGCGGAGAGAUCGGGAGGAAUACCAGUGGCGAAGGCGGCCUUCUGGACUGACACUGACGCUGAGGUGCGAAAGCGUGGGUAGCAAACAGGAUUAGAUACCCUGGUAGUC
rnacentral:rRNA from 1 species